rnacentral:rRNA from 1 species
AGUGAACGCUGGCGGUAGGCCUAACACAUGCAAGUCGGACGGCAGCACAGUAAGAGCUUGCUCUUACGGGUGGCGAGUGGCGGACGGGUGAGGAAUACAUCGGAAUCUACUUUUUCGUGGGGGAUAACGUAGGGAAACUUACGCUAAUACCGCAUACGACCUACGGGUGAAAGCAGGGGAUCUUCGGACCUUGCGCGAUUGAAUGAGCCGAUGUCGGAUUAGCUAGUUGGCGGGGUAAAGGCCCACCAAGGCGACGAUCCGUAGCUGGUCUGAGAGGAUGAUCAGCCACACUGGAACUGAGACACGGUCCAGACUCCUACGGGAGGCAGCAGUGGGGAAUGUUGGACAAUGGGCGCAAGCCUGAUCCAGCCAUACCGCGUGGGUGAAGAAGGCCUUCGGGUUGUAAAGCCCUUUUGUUGGGAAAGAAAAGCAGCAGGUUAAUACCCCGCUGUUCUGACGGUACCCAAAGAAUAAGCACCGGCUAACUUCGUG